rnacentral:rRNA from 1 species
AGUCAUACSCUUGUCUCAAAGACUAAGCCAUUCAUGUGCAAGUAUAAACGCUUGAACCGUGAGACUGCGAAUGGSUCAUUAAAUCAGUUAUAGUUUAUAUGAUGGCGUUUUCUACGUGGAUAUCCGCGGUAAUUCUAGAGCUAAUACAUGCAAAAGGUCCCGACCUUUGGAAGGGACGUAUUUCUUAGAUCCAAAACCAAUGCGGGUGUUGUCCCCUCGGUGGCGCCCCGGUCUCUUGGUGAUUCAUAGUAACUUCUSGAAUUGCUAGGCCCCCGCGCCGGCGAUGGUUCAUUCAAGUUUCUGCCCUAUCAACUUUCGAUGGUAGGGUAUUGGCCUACCAUGGUUGCAACGGGUGACGGAGAAUUAGGGUUCGAUUCCGGAGAGGGAGCCUGAGAAACGGCUACCACAUCCAAGGAAGGCAGCAGGCGCGCAAAUUACCCAAUCCCGACUCGGGGAGGUAGUGACAAUAAAUAACAAUGCCGGUCCCUAUAGUGUCCGGCAAUUGAAUGAGUACAACUAAAU